rnacentral:rRNA from 1 species
AUUGAACGCUGGCGGCAGGCCUAACACAUGCAAGUCGAACGAGUGGCGGACGGGUGAGUAAUGUCUGGGAAACUGCCUGAUGGAGGGGGAUCACUACUGGAAACGGUCGCUAAUUCCGCAUUCCAUCGGAUGUGCCCAGAUGGGAUUAGCUAGUAGGUGGGGUAAAGGCUCACCUAGGCGACGAUCCCUAGCUGGUCUGAGAGGCUGAUCAGUCACACUGGAACUGAGACACGGUCAAGACUCCUACGGGAGGCAGCAGUGGGGAAUAUUGGACAAUGGGCGAAGGCAUGAUCCAGCCAGGCGGAGUGGGUGAAGAAGGUCUUCGGAUUGUAAAGCACUUUAAGUUGGGAGGCGUUACCAAAAGAGGAAGCACCGGCUAACUCCGUGCCAGCAGCCGCGGUAAUUC